GAUGAACGCUGGCGGCGUGCCUAAUACAUGCAAGUCGAGCGAACAGACGAGGAGCUUGCUCCUCUGGCGUUAGCGGCGGACGGGUGAGUAACACGUGGAUAACCUACCUAUAAGACUGGGAUAACUUCGGGAAACCGGAGCUAAUACCGGAUAAUAUAUUGAACCGCAUGGUUCAAUAGUGAAAGACGGUUUUGCUGUCACUUAUAGAUGGAUCCGCGCCGCAUUAGCUAGUUGGUAAGGUAACGGCUUACCAAGGCAACGAUGCGUAGCCCACCUGAGAGGGUGAUCGGCCACACUGGAACUGAGACACGGUCCAGACUCCUACGGGAGGCAGCAGUAGGGAAUCUUCCGCAAUGGGCGAAAGCCUGACGGAGCAACGCCGCGUGAGUGAUGAAGGUCUUCGGAUCGUAAAACUCUGUUAUUAGGGAAGAACAAAUGUGUAAGUAACUAUGCACGUCUUGACGGUACCUAAUCAGAAAGCCACGGCUAACUACGUG
rnacentral:rRNA from 1 species